UUAAAAUGUAGCUGUCCAACAGAAACAUUACCUAUAGACCUAUAUUCUGAUUUUUAAUUCGGUGUAAUUCUGACGUCAUAAAU